GAAGCUGCUGUUGGAGUUUCUGAGGGUGACUGAUGAACACCCUGCUGAUGCUGUGGUGACCCUCCUGCACUGUGCCCCAUCAUGUGACAGAGCUGCUGCCAUCAUGUGGAGGACCAUCACCUCAUCGGGAAGGACAGUGGUGAAGGUGCUGCCACAGCUGCUCUGUGUGAUGGAGGACUGGCCACUCCACAGCAUGUCCACCUCUGACGGGGACAAAACGGAUGUCUUUGCACUGGCUGCAACCAGGGUGAUCUGGGAGACUCUGCAGAUAUUCCGGUUCCCAGUCAUGGACAGAGUAUUCCCUCUGUCUCCUUGUGGCUCUGCUCUUUCAAGUUCUCAUCAGCACCUAGCAGAUGCCAAAGGAGGUUGACACCUUCUGGAGGGGAUGCUGGGAGCAACACAACCUUCCCACCGAGCCCAACAGGUUUGCGUUGCUGACCCUGAAGGCCCUGCUUUGCCAUCUGGAGUGUGGGGAAGUUGUGGUUUCAAUGGAACGCAAGUGCGGCUGGGACACGCUCCUCAGCGCUGACACCCACCACUACGCGGUGGGUCUGUUGGCCAGGGAGAUGAGCCAUGUCUCCGACCCCUUGUGUUCCCGGAU